AUCCAUCUGACGAGUCCCAAAUAGGACGAAAUACGCGUGAAACUGGAU
rnacentral:hammerhead_ribozyme from 1 species